UAGGGAAUUUUCCACAAUGGACGAAAGUCUGAUGGAGCAACGCCGCGUGAACGAUGAAGGUCUUCGGAUUGUAAAGUUCUGUUGUCAGGGACGAAUAAGUACCGUUCGAACAGGGCGGUACCUUGACGGUACCUGACGAGAAAGCCACGGCUAACUACG
rnacentral:rRNA from 1 species